AUUGAACGCUGGCGGCAGGCCUAACACAUGCAAGUCGAACGAGUGGCGGACGGGUGAGUAAUGUCUGGGAAACUGCCCGAUGGAGGGGGAUAACUACUGGAAACGGUAGCUAAUACCGCAUACCAUCGGAUGUGCCCAGAUGGGAUUAGCUAGUAGGGGGGGUAACGGCUCACCUAGGCGACGAUCCCUAGCUGGUCUGAGAGGAUGACCGGCCACACGGGGACUGAGACACGGUCCAGCCUCCUACGGAAGGCAGAAGUGGGGAAUAUUGCACAAUGGGCACAAGCCUGAUGCAGCCAGGCCGCGUGUAUGAAGAAGGCCUUCGGGUUGUAAAGUACUUUCAGCGAGGAGGCGUUACUCGCAGAAGAAGCACCGGCUAACUCCGUGCCAGCAGCCGCGGUAAUUC
rnacentral:rRNA from 1 species